ensembl:lncRNA
CUUUUAUACAUGCUCAUCUGUGGCAUUACAAUUUGGACAUCAUUACUUUUCUAAUGUUGCUGCAAAGAUGCUGAUGAGACACAUGUUUCUGACUGCAAAAAGUAUUCAGCUUGUCUUUGAAAGACAAGGGGAUUUAUUUAUUCUACUCUAAUCAGUUCACACCUGGGCAAAAUGAGUGUAUGCAGAUGUAUAAAGCUUCUGUUAUAAUGAGGUAUGGCUUCCGCUCACAGGGGAAAUUUCAGCUCCAAGAAUGUCAAAGAGAUUUUCUCAGACUCAUUUCUUCACACCUAAUUCAUGUUUCAUCUUUAAGAAUCAGUGAUUUCACACUUCUCUAAAUGUUGCUACUCUUAUUGGUACAACUGCCAGAUCACUCACAUUAACUAUUAUUACUAUCGCAACAAUUCAGAAUUUUUUACUUUAUCAAGGGCCAAAAUAUGGUUCAUGCCCUAGGUAUUUCCUGUCUAGACUACUAUAUUGGUCUUUUGGACACGUUUCCUUCUUUUUCCAUAGUUGUUUUCAAACCAAAAUGUACAAAACUCUAUAGAUUGUUUCUUCCUUUUUUAAGCACUCAGGAAGAUGAUAGACUUUUUUCUUGGCUCGAAGUAUUGGAAGACUAUAUCCCCCAUGAGGAAUCAAUCCUUUAUUUAUUCUUGAAUUAUGAUUACAUGAGAAAGCAGGAACUUGUUCUGUAGGUUAAUGUACAAUAAAAUCUACUUUAGAUGACAACAAGCUCGCAGCAACGGCCUCUGCGGUAUCCCAGUUAUGGUGUACAGAUGACAAUACCCUGCAUUCAACCAGUCAGUAGAGACACUGAGAGGUCAAAUAUGCCAAAAAUUGUGACCCAGCAGUUACUCAUGGACACCACAUCACAUUCUCGUUUGCACUGGGAACAUAUUCUGCUUCAUGGCCUGCGUGAUUUUCUUACCUCUGGGAUUUCAAAGAUUUUUUAUGUAUCUUGGUCAGAUCUGCAAGCAAGAAUUCUACAUGUUCCUUUCUCUAUGCAAUCUGCCAAUUCCUCACGCCCUGUAUUGGGAUAGGAUCAAGCUGUAUUAUAAGGAUUUACCCUUCAGUAACAAAGAAGUUCUCAGAAGAACCUCCAGGGACAAUGACUCCACCACCUCCCUGGGCAGCCUGUUCCUUUUCUUGACAACUCUUUCUGUGAAUAAAUUUUUCCUAAUACCCAACCUGAGAUAUUAUGCUUGGGAUUGCCCUAACCCAGGUGCAGGACUUUGCACUUGGCCUUAUUGAACCUCAUUAUGUUCUCAUCAGCCCACCUCUCAAUCCUGUCAAGGUUCCUCUGGAUGGCAUCCAUUCCCUCCAGUGUGUCAACUGCACCACUCAGCUUGGUGUUGUUGGCAAACUUGCUAGGCGUGCCCUCAGCCCCAUGGUCCAUGUUUCUAACAAAUAUGUUAAAUAAUACUGGUCCAAAUACUGUCCCCUGAAGAAUAUCAUUCAUCACUGGUUCCCACCUCUGUAUUGAGCCACUGAAUGUAACUCUUUGAGUGUGACCAUCUAGCCAAUUUGUUAUUCUUUACAGAACUCCUUCUCUCAGACCCAUUUCUCUCCAAUUCAGAAACAAGGAUGUUGUGCAGUAUAGUAUCAAAUUGUUUUGCAGAAGUUCAGGUAGAUGGAGGCUGUUAUGUUAACUGUAAAGAAUGGUACUUUAAAUUCAUGCAGCUGACAAUGAUCAUUAAAUUUAGCCACGUUUAUUUACCUGGUAUAAUACUUAACAUCCAAAAUCUUUUACAAACUUCCCUGUAUUACAGAAAAUGCCUUAACAAAUGUUCUGGUCAGAUAGAAUUUAACACACUAAUCUCAACUCUCAUAGUAGAAUUGCAGAUUUGAAGCAUUUAGAUUUUUUAUUCAGUCUGGUUUUAUGUGAUGAAUUUUGCCUGAGAAGGCAAAACCAGUACCUAUUUAUUUUUUUUUCUGCCAAAUAAAAUGUACUCAGUCAAUGGUAUGUCCA